UCAGACGGUGCGAGUAAGCAUACGAGUCGGUCUAGUCAGUUACUGCAGUGCAGCUACUCACACCGUGUGAACACAUCAUGCCAGUUAGUGUCAUGAGUAAUCCGGCGUGCGAGCUACUUCAAAGUUUUUUGAUUUUACUCGCACUCGCAUCCCUAAAAACGUCAAAAACAGCAUUUAGCGCUCGAAUCGGGGAUGCCAAACGUAAAGAAAUGUCUCCAUUUUGAAGAUAUUUCAAAAUAUUAACAAACUCGAAAAUUCUUGGAAAACAAAUAAAACCCACAUAGUUUCUAAAUAAAAUCGUUGUUAUUUUGUUUUAUACUCUUUCUUUUUGAGAUAGUUUUCUUGAAAACAAAAACAUAAGCCAUCCAUGAGUGAAGACAUCAGAUGAUAAUUCCAUAUGCCGUGCAAGGAUAUUUGAGAAAGAUACCUGGCAUCCCUAAUCAAAGAUAGAAUAUCUAUAUUAAAUGGCGGCAUCCGUGUUUGUGAGGCAAAUUUCUCUAUCAGAUUAGUAUACUUGAAGGCAGUUUUAAACCGUUAAAAUUUGAAUGAAAAUUUCAUACAUACAUUAUUUGACCAUUUAAAGCACGUGACCCUGAUCCUCAAUAAACUAUUUUCCUAUAUAUUUUUUUUAUAUUUCCACCAAAACUUAUCAUUAUAGUAUAAAGUUAUCAUCAGACACAAUUUUCGUUCAAGAUUCACUCACUACUUGCAGAAAAAGUAUUGUUCUAUUAAACAGAAUACAUAUUCGAUUUGAAAAAGUUCAUUUUCAUUCAUAAUUUCAAUUUUUGACGCGUAUUUAUUCCACCUGUAAAUCAACUAUCAUUUUCACUUCACAAAUCGGCACAAGAAGCUGCUGUCAAGGCGAAAUACGAAGAGAUAGUAGUCCGUGUGCAUUCUGUUUGUUUGCAUGUUUUUUCGUGUUAGCAGCAGCAGUUAAAAGCAAAAAAAUGACGCAAAGAUGGAAUUCGGAACAAAAUGAACACUUUGUGGAAUUAUAUAAAGAACAAACCAUUUUGUGGAACUGUAUGGAUCCCAAUUAUAAAAACAGAGAUUUGCGUAAAGCCUCGCUUGAAUACAUUCGUUCAGAAGUGGGGUUAUCGGAUACGAAAGAAGUUACAAAAAAAAUAAAAAAUUUACGUUCUACAUACAACCAGGAGAAAUUAAAAAUUGAGAAAAGCAAACGAAGCGGAUGUGGUACUGAUGAGAUAUAUAAACCUUCCGUCCAAUGGUUCGAUGCCAUGGAUUACAUCAUGAAUAUUAUUCAUCUGAAGGAAAAACAAACAAUAAGUAAUCUAGUAAGUUAUUUUCUUCUAUUAUAUAAUGCACUAUAACACUAAAUAUAUAUAUACAUUACUAAAUGAUUCGAUAUUAUACUAUACUGCAACUAUACUACACUAUAUUAUACUGUAUUCUCUAAUUAAUAAAUCAUAUUAUUUUGCCAAGUAACCGCUCCCUCGCUAUUAAAGUAAUGUUUAUAUUUAUCUCUCAUUUUCUCUGCAAUAGCCUUUGAUCUAUUAUUCAUCCGUGAGCGUUGAAUGCUUCGUAAACCCUCAAUCUCUGACCUCCACUGCCCUAAAUUAAUUUCAAAAUUUAUUAUGUCUUCAUAGUCAAUUGUUCCUGGUGGAGUAUACGUUUUCGAUGCAGACAUACGCAACCAGUUGUGUAAAGUACAUGCACAUAAAACUAUCUUCAUUGCGGUAUCCUCUCUAACCUGGAUUGGUUUUCCCAAAAUACGAAAACGAGAUGCUAAAAUGCCAAAUCCAUUUUCAACUAUUCUCCUUGCUCUGCUCAAUCUGUAGUUAAAAAUCUUUUCUUCUUUAGUCGGUGUAUUUUUAUAGGGCUUCAAUAAAUACGGCUUUAAUGGAAACGCAUCAUCACCUACUAAAACGCCAUUUUCAGGCAAUAGAAUAUUGUUUUCUAGAUGAGAAUAUAAAGAGCAUUUUUGAAAUAUCCCACCAUCUGCGUUACGACCGUAUGAGCCUAUAUCAACAUAUCUAAAACAAUAAUCGUGAUCCACGAUUGCCAUUAACACUAUGCUAUUCGUUCCCUUAUAGUUGUAAUAUUCACUACCACAAUUAGGUGGUGCUUGAAUUGUGAUGUGCUUCCCAUCAAUAGCUCCAUAGCAACCUGGGAAGUUCCACCUUGAAUGGAAUCCUACUCCUAUAUCUUGCCAUUCUUCCUUAUUCGGCAUCUGAAAAAUUAAAAUAUAAUUGAACCAUUUCAUGCAUCAACAUCUGGGAGCGAUUUUGCUGAAGAAAUUACAAUAAUCGAUGAGGAGUACCUCGAUGCUACUGAUGAAAACAACGCUGAUGAAAUCCUACCAAAGAAGCCAUCGAACAGAAGAUCGAAGAAGAAAUUGUCAACUGAGCAGUCUACAAUACAAGCGGCCGUGAAUGAACUGAAGGAACUGAAUAAUAAUUUAACAGUGUCUGCCUCGAGUAUGGGAGAACCAGAAGAUGAAUGUGAGGCAAUUGGAAGACAUGUUAUAAUGCAGCUCAGACAGUUAUCCCCAAUUGAUAGAAUUGAUGCGACAGAUGAAAUACAUGCAAUUCUUUCUAGAUACCGUAAGAAUGCCCUCUGCGUCAGUAGAAUGCAAUACACAUAUUCUGAUCACGAAUAUACUGAAACAUCACAGGCGACUGUAGGUUUUCCACCAAGAUCACCCUAACGUCCUACAUCUUCACAAUCAAAUCAACAGUCGCAAAUACUAUAACCAAGUCAUGCAAUAUUGUACUAUUUUUAAGGAUCACUUUCCAUACAAUAGAACUUAGAUAAUAAAAAAAGCUACUUACUUUAAUAAAAUCUUUUAGACUGAAAUUUAUAGCGUCACAUACUUCCGGAAUUAUCUUAGCUAUGGAUGCCUUCGAGAUUCUAAAAAAUAUCGACAAUAAUCUGAACGAUAUUCCAGAGGAGAGGUACACCAAAGUAAUUUCUAAUUUCACUCUUGCAGGUAUAGCACCCCUCAUAAGUGUAUCUUGGCGUUGUAUUUUUGGAGCAAUUAAAUCCAAUAGUGUUUCCACUUGUUCUGGUGUUACUCUCAACACUGCUCUGUACUCUCGGGGAUCAUUAUCGUAGAGUUCGUUCAGUAUUGUAUUUGUUGCUCCUUUUUUUUGCAUCCAAUUCCUGGCCCAAAUCCUUUUGCCUUUCUGCUUUUUCCGAAUAGUACCUUCAGCUCGAAGUAAUUCAGCACAAAGUAUUUUUGUAACCGCUUUUGUCACGGUACGAACUACAGUCAGCCGUGUUUUGCUGGACAACAUUGUAUACGGUAUAAACUACGGUUAGCGUGUAUUUCGGGAUCAAAUUGUGUGAUAAUAAAUGCAACUGAAAACCUGAGAUAAAAACUGCCAAUAGAGAUGUCGAUUUCGGAUCAAUUAUCUGUCAAAUUCUGAUCUGAUUCCUGUUUCUCAUUAUUUGAUGUACAUUUGAAAAAUCACCUGGCAUCCCUGGUAAACCCGUGCUGUUGUAUCUAGUUACAUGCCAACAACUCACACUGUGUGAACAGACAAGGCGAGUCAACCGAUUGUCAAGCGAGUCCACCGGGUCAGUAGCUGCUCACUGUCAAGUCAGCUACUAGCAACGUAUAAAUGGGCCUUUAAGCCGAUAAAAAUGCAUU